AUACUUACCUGGCAGGGGCGAUACAAUGAUCAAGAAGGUUGUUUGCCCAGGGCGAGGCUCGGCCAUUGCACUCCGGUCGUGCUGACCCCUGCGAAUUCCUCAAAUGUAGGAAUCUCGACUGCACAAUUUCUGGUAGUGGGGAACUGCGUUCGCGCUCUCCCCUG
ensembl:snRNA U1 U1 spliceosomal RNA